rnacentral:rRNA from 1 species
GCGUGGAUGAUGAAGGCCUUAGGGUCGUAAAGUCCUUUCGCUGGGGAAGAUAAUGACGGUACCCAGUAAAGAAACCCCGGCUAACUCCGUGCCAGCAGCCGCGGUAAUACGGAGGGGGUUAGCGUUGUUCGGAUUUACUGGGCGUAAAGCGCGCGUAGGCGGAUCAGAAAGUUGGGGGUGAAAUCCCGGGGCUCAACCCCGGAAUUGCCUUCAAAACUCCUGGUCUUGAGUUCGAGAGAGGUGAGUGGAAUUCCGAGUGUAGAGGUGAAAUUCGU